GUGGGGUUGUAGAAAGCUAAGUUGCUCAUGUGUUAGGCCACACCAGCCCCAGGAACUGCUUCUGAAAGGCUGGAUAUGCUGGUAUGGAGUGAUGGCCAGUCCCCCACACCAGGCCCUGAAAUCAGGGUAGCUGGGCCUGCUGCUCAAGGUCCAACACAAACCCUCAAGAAACUGGGUGCUGGUCCCAGAUCUCCUUCUCAUCAUGGUCCAGAUGUGGACAACUGUCAUCUGCCCCUUCUGCCCUUGGCUACAACCCAGUGAGAACUCUCACUUGUGCCUGGACUGAUUUCCUGGUCUCCUGGCUUGAUCUGCUCCCGUCCGAUUUCCACACUGCCACCCCAGCAGUUUUUCCCCAGUCGGUCACAGGAGAACAGGAAGACGGCACUCUUGCAUUGCUCUCAGGUUCUAUCGAGGCAGUGGCACCCUUGGGACCCAGAAUGUGCAGAGGCACAGUCAAGACAGAGUGAGC
ensembl:lncRNA